rnacentral:misc_RNA from 2 species
GGAUCUUCGGGGCAGGGUGAAAUUCCCGACCGGUGGUAUAGUCCACGAAUCCAU